CGCGGCCUAUCAGCUUGUUGGUAGGGUAGUGGCCUACCAAGGCGGCGACGGGUAGCCGGCCUGAGAGGGUGACCGGCCACAUUGGGACUGAGAUACGGCCCAGACUCCUACGGGAGGCAGCAGUGGGGGAUAUUGCACAAUGGGCGCAAGCCUGAUGCAGCAACGCCGCGUGCGGGAUGACGGCCUUCGGGUUGUAAACCGCUUUCAGCAGGGACGAAGCUUUUUGUGACGGUACCUGCAGAAGAAGCACCGGCUAACUACGUGCCAGCAGCCGCGGUGAUACGUAGGGUGCGAGCGUUGUCCGGAUUUAUUGGGCGUAAAGGGCUCGUAGGCGGUUGAUCGCGUCGGAAGUGGAAACUUGACGCUUAACGUUGAGCGUGCUUUCGAUACGGGUUGACUUGAGGAAGGUAGGGGAGAAUGGAAUUCCUGGUGGAGCGGUGGAAUGCGCAGAUAUCAGGAGGAACACCAGUGGCGAAGGCGGUUCUCUGGACCUUUCCUGACGCUGAGGAGCGAAAGCGUGGGGAGCGAACAGGCUUAGAUACCCUGGUAGUCCACGCUGUAAACGGUGGGUACUAGGUGUGGGGUCCAUUCCACGGAUUCUGUGCCGUAGCUAACGCAUUAAGUACCCCGCCUGGGGAGUACGG
rnacentral:rRNA from 1 species